UACGGAGGGUGCAAGCGUUAUCCGGAUUCACUGGGUUUAAAGGGUGCGUAGGUGGCUUUGUAAGUCAGUGGUGAAAGCCCGGAGCUCAACUCCGGAACUGCCGUUGAUACUGCUUAGCUUGAAUCACGUCGAGGUGGAUGGAAUAAUACAUGUAGCGGUGAAAUGCUUAGAUAUGUAUUAGAACACCGAUUGCGAAGGCAGUUCACUAGGCGUGUAUUGACACUGAGGCACGAAAAGCGUGGGGAUCAAACAGG
rnacentral:rRNA from 1 species